rnacentral:rRNA from 1 species
GGCCGGCUAGAUAGGACAAUUCUUCCUAAGAUUUGUUCUCCAGGGCGCCCAAAACAUAUUUCCUGAGCUCCGAGGUUACCAGGAUGGCGGGCCCCCCCAGCGUUGAGCAUUGUUUUAUUCGAACAACGCGAAGACCUUACCCAAUUUGACAUCCCACUGACAAAGUUGUAAUGUACUCUCUCGGGACAGUGUGACAGUGGUGCAUGGUGUCGUCAGCUCGUGUCGUGAGAUGUGGGUUAAGUCCCGCAACGAGCGCAACCCUUGUCCUUAGUAGCCAGCAUUUCGGAUGGGCACUCUAGGGAGACUGCCCGGGUGAACCGGGAGGAAGGUGGGGAUGACGUCAAAUCAUCAUGCCCCUUAUGUCCUGGGCUACACACGUACUACAAUGGCCAAUACAGAGGGAAGCGAAGCUGCGAAGUGGAGCGAAACCCAGAAAGAUGGUCUCAGUUCGGAUUGUAGGCUGAAACUCAAAAUAAAAUGAAAAAUGGAAUUGCUAGUAAUGGCAGGUCAGCAUACUGCCGUGAAUACGUUCCCGGGCCUUGUACACACCGCCCGUCACACCAUGAGAGUCUGUAACACCCGAAGUCAGUAGCAUAACCUGAAAAGGAGUGCGCUGCCGAAGGUGGGGCAGGUGAUUGGGGUGAAGUCGUAACAAGGUAGCCGUAUCGGAAGGUGC